UCCGAGUUGACUCCGGCAGUCUCCUAUGAGUCCCCACCAUCACGUGCUGGCAACAUGGAACGAGGGUUGCGCUCGUUGCGGGACUUAACCCGACAUCUCACGACACGAGCUGACGACAGCCAUGCAGCACCUGUACCAGUUCCACCCCGAAGGGCGUACCCUACUUUCAUAGGGAUAAUCCUGGCAAGUCAAGCCCAGGUAAGGUUCUGCGCGUUGCUUCGAAUUGAACCACAUGCUCCACCGCUUGUGUGAGCCCCCGUCAAUUCCUUUGAGUUUUAGCCUUGCGACCGUACUUCCCAGGCGGUCAACUUAGCACUUUUGCUUCGACCGUGACAACGUCAGAGCUGCCACGAUCUAGUUGACAUCGUUUACGGCCAGGACUAC
rnacentral:misc_RNA from 1 species